rnacentral:lncRNA from 1 species
CAAACCAAAUACUCAUUCUUAAUUAUCAGAAUAAACCAAACCAAAUUUCUUAACUAUGCAAUACGCCAAUACUCUUAUAGUAAUUAAAUGAAAAGAAAGUGUUUGAUAAAAGAAGGAAAAACAGAAGAGGAAGAGUUAGAAGUACAACCCAUUUGUAUUAGACACGUUACACAUUGAUACUAAACACACGCAUUGAAGAGUUUGCACAAACAUUUGAAAUAAAAAUUAACCAAGAUUGGUUGAAGGAUUUGCUUAGUCGAUAUGAGCAUGAUCCUAACAAUCCUUGAAUCUUCUGAGUGAGGUGCCAACAUUAAGAAUCAUCUUGAUUCAUGGUAAAUAGUUUCAUGCAGUUGGGAGCUUAAAGGUAAAAAGCAAGGGGGUGUCCUGAACUCAUUAACUUACUACAGUUAUAUGGAACAAAAAAAUCCAAUAUCAUUGUGAAGUUUACCUGCAUUGAUGCAAACAAUGUACUAACAUUUCACAAAACAUGUUCCUGAAAUAACUCAAUAACCACAAUGAAGCCAUACAUUAUUCACCU